rnacentral:misc_RNA from 1 species
UCUCCGUUGGUGAACCAGCGGAGGGAUCAUUACUGAGUUGCAAAACUCCCAACCCUUGUGAACAUACCCGUUACAGUUGCUUCGGCGGGCAGCCCCAGGGCGGGGCUGCAGCCUCUUCUCACGAGGCGCCCGCCGGAGGUAUAUAACUCUUUGUAUUUGUUGGUCUCUCUGAGUAAAUUUAUAAUAAGUCAAAACUUUUAACAACGGAUCUCUUGGUUCUG